GGACCUGACUGCUAUCGGAUUGAUACUAAGCCAUGCGAGUCAUUGUAGUAAUACAAGGCAGACGGCUCAGUAACGCGUAGUCAACCUAACCUAUGGACGGGAAUAACCUCGGGAAACUGAGUAUAAUGCCCGAUAGAACAUUAUGCCUGGAAUGGUUUAUGUUCCAAAUGAUUUAUCGCCGUAGGAUGGGACUGCGGCCUAUCAGUUUGUUGGUGAGGUAAUGGCCCACCAAGACUAUUACAGGUACGGGCUCUGAGAGGAGUAGCCCGGAGAUGGGUACUGAGACACGGACCCAGGCCCUAUGGGGCGCAGCAGGCGAGAAAACUUUGCAAUGUGCGAAAGCACGACAAGGUUAAUCCGAGUGGUUUCUGCUAAAGGAACCUUUUGUCGGUCCUAGAAACACCGAUGAAUAAGGGGUGGGCGAGUUCUGGUGU
rnacentral:rRNA from 1 species